AGUGCACAGGCAUAGCGCCUGUGCUUUUCGGUACCCUAAGGCGGUACCAGAAUAAGGGCUGGGCAAGACCGGUGCCAGCCGCCGCGGUAAUACCGGCAGCCCAAGUGAUGGCCGAUCUUAUUGGGCCUAAAGCGUCCGUAGCUGGCCGCGCAAGUCCAUCGGGAAAUCCACCUGCUCAACAGGUGGGCGCCCGGUAGAAACUGCGUGGCUUGGGACCGGAAGGCGCGACGGGUACGUCCGGGGUAGGAGUGAAAUCCCGUAAUCCUGGACGGACCGCCGAUGGCGAAAGCACGUCGCGAGAACGGAUCCGACAGUGAGGGACGAAAGCCAGGGUCUCGAACCGGAUUAGAUACCCGGGUAGUCCUGGCCGUAAACAAUGUCUGCUAGGUGUGGCUCCCACUACGAGUGGGUGCUGUGCCGUAGGGAAGCCGCUAAGCAGACCGC
rnacentral:rRNA from 1 species